UUAACGACUCUCGGCAACGGAUAUCUCGGCUCUUGCAUCGAUGAAGAACGUAGCGAAAUGCGAUACUUGGUGUGAAUUGCAGAAUCCCGUGAACCAUCGAGUCUUUGAACGCAAGUUGCGCCCGAGACCACUAGGUCGAGGGCACGUCUGCCUGGGCGUCACAC
rnacentral:rRNA from 4 species